UCCGACGGACGAAUAGUUAGAAUAUUAGUGACGGUAUUGCGAUGGUUGGCAACAUAAUAAACUCCAUCGGUAAUCCGUUACAAAUACCGACUGUUUACCUACGGAAAACAUCGAAUUCGUAAUUCGGUCGCUAUUUUGUUGGUAAAAUAAACACUUAUUAAUAUUAUUUAUAAACUGUGGGGCAUUUUGGUAAAUAUAAAAAUAGAAGGUUGUUUUAGUUCAAAGCAGGGAUCCCCUUCACGACGACCUCACGUCACCACCAUCAUUUGUAAAACGACAUAACCCUAGCCGCCGUCGCCGGAGGUUGUGUUUCACCUUCGCCGGAACCAAGAACCCUAACGGCGUCGCUUGACUCCGUCGCUCACUGACGUCCAUUGCACCGUCAAUACUUCGCCAUCACUUGACUAAGUGUUUGCCUCAUGUCCGCCUCCUAUUCGACGUUUCGUUGCACCAAAGCCACCGUCUGCCACCGACGAUUGCUUCCGUUUCACCGACAUCAGUCAAUCUUACUGACAUUCAUCAAUUACAGGACUAAUGACAUCACGAGCGAUAGGGAGAAGACUCCAUCAUGGAGAUGUCGGUGGUAAAGAAAACAUGAGCAUUUAACACGUGCAAAUUUGGAUGAACUACAUGAACCUCUACUUGGGAAUAACGAUGACAACAAGCCUAACCGGUUAAAGGUACAAAAGUAUGAAGAUGUUUUGUAUGAUGAAAAAGGAAAAGAAAACCUCCACUAGGCAUUUCUAUUCUCUAAUAUAAUUUCAGAAUGGGCACAAUGGUUAGGUGUGGAAUCCACAAACUAAUCAAAGAAGGAAUUCUCUAUUGGUUGCUGACAAUAUCUGACAAUAUGGAUUGAAAUUUGUGGUAUUCGACAAUAUGGAUAGAAAUUUAUAGAUUAGUAUGUCAAAUGAUUGAAAUUUAUGGGUUUACCUUUAUAUUUGUUGGUUUAAAAAUAUAGAUUUGAUGUAUGUUUAAAAAAAAAUAUGUGUUGAAUAUGUAAUUAUUUUUACUUCUUAAUUUCUUCAUUAAUAUGUAAAUUUUUUUAUAAUGCCAAAA